CACUGGGGGAACCCGGCCAAUAAUCAUGCAAGUCGAGCGGACAGAAGGGAGCUUGCUCCCGGAUGUUAGCGGCGGACGGGUGAGUAACACGUGGGUAACCUGCCUGUAAGACUGGGAUAACUCCGGGAAACCGGAGCUAAUACCGGAUAGUUCCUUGAACCGCAUGGUUCAAGGAUGAAAGACGGUUUCGGCUGUCACUUACAGAUGGACCCGCGGCGCAUUAGCUAGUUGGUGAGGUAACGGCUCACCAAGGCGACGAUGCGUAGCCGACCUGAGAGGGUGAUCGGCCACACUGGGACUGAGACACGGCCCAGACUCCUACGGGAGGCAGCAGUAGGGAAUCUUCCGCAAUGGACGAAAGUCUGACGGAGCAACGCCGCGUGAGUGAUGAAGGUUUUCGGAUCGUAAAGCUCUGUUGUUAGGGAAGAACAAGUGCAAGAGUAACUGCUUGCACCUUGACGGUACCUAACCAGAAAGCCACGGCUAACUACGUGCCAGCAGCCGCGGUAAUACGUAGGUGGCAAGCGUUGUCCGGAAUUAUUGGGCGUAAAGGGCUCGCAGGCGGUUUCUUAAGUCUGAUGUGAAAGCCCCCGGCUCAACCGGGGAGGGUCAUUGGAAACUGGGAAACUUGAGUGCAGAAGAGGAGAGUGGAAUUCCACGUGUAGCGGUGAAAUGCGUAGAGAUGUGGAGGAACACCAGUGGCGAAGGCGACUCUCUGGUCUGUAACUGACGCUGAGGAGCGAAAGCGUGGGGAGCGAACAGGAUUAGAUACCCUGGUAGUCCACGCCGUAACGAUGAGUGCUAGUGUUAGGGGUUUCCCGCCCCCUUAGUGCUGCAGCUAACGCAUUAAGCACUCCGCCUGGGGAGUACGGUCGCAAGACUGAAACUCAAAGGAAUUGACGGGGGCCCGCACAAGCGGUGGAGCAUGUGGUUUAAUUCGAAGCAACGCGAAGAACCUUACCAGGUCUUGACAUCCUCUGACAACCCUAGAGAUAGGGCUUUCCCUUCGGGGACAGAGUGACAGGUGGUGCAUGGUUGUCGUCAGCUCGUGUCGUGAGAUGUUGGGUUAAGUCCCGCAACGAGCGCAACCCUUGAUCUUAGUUGCCAGCAUUCAGUUGGGCACUCUAAGGUGACUGCCGGUGACAAACCGGAGGAAGGUGGGGAUGACGUCAAAUCAUCAUGCCCCUUAUGACCUGGGCUACACACGUGCUACAAUGGACAGAACAAAGGGCUGCGAGACCGCAAGGUUUAGCCAAUCCCACAAAUCUGUUCUCAGUUCGGAUCGCAGUCUGCAACUCGACUGCGUGAAGCUGGAAUCGCUAGUAAUCGCGGAUCAGCAUGCCGCGGUGAAUACGUUCCCGGGCCUUGUACACACCGCCCGUCACACCACGAGAGUUUGCAACACCCGAAGUCGGUGAGGUAACCUUUAUGGAGCCCAGCCGCGCGAGAAGGUGGUUCCC
rnacentral:rRNA from 1 species